rnacentral:rRNA from 1 species
AUUGAACGCUGGCGGCAGGCUUAACACAUGCAAGUCGAACGAGUGGCGGACGGGUGAGUAAUGAUUGGGAAUCUAGCUUAUGGAGGGGGAUAACUACGGGAAACUGUAGCUAAUCCCGCGUACCAUAGGAUGAGACAAAGUGGGAUUAGGUAGUUGGUGAGGUAAAGGCUCACCAAGCCGACGAUCUCUAGCUGGUCUGAGAGGAUGACCGGCCACACUGGGACUGGGACACGGCCCAGACCCCUACGGGAGGCAGCAGUGGGGAAGAUUCCGCAAUGGGGGCAACCUGACGCGGCCAUGCCGGGUGAAUGAAGAAGGCCUUCGGGUUGUAAAGUUCUUUCGGUAGCGAGGCGUUGACUACAGAAGAAGCACCGGCUAACUCCGUGCCAGCGGCGGCGGUAUAC